CAACAAGCGAAAGGAGGUGGUCCGAUGUCUCAUGGUUCAGCACAGGGGUCGGAAAAAUCCGUUCGGGGGGCAAAUCUGAUCUAGGCAUCAGGCAACCCGGCAGCGGCACUUCCAACCGCUGACCCAUGUUCAGAGGUUGUCCGUCAAACGACGGGCAGCCU
rnacentral:sRNA from 1 species